CAAAUUCUAUAUCUUCGGAAUGAAAGAAAGGAUCGAAAGGGAUUUCAAAAUUAGGAUCUUCUUCUAUGGCAGAAUCUUCGGGAGAGGUAUCUAGUUCAUGCAAAGUGAGUUGGCGGGAAGUGAUGGGGUUUAUUAUGGGAUCCCAAAAAAAAGCCGGAAGAUCAGGAUCCUCAGGAGGAACGAAAACAUUAGACGGUUGGUGGUAUUCACUUAGUGCAACGCUUCGAGCUCUAGAAUUAUAAAGGUAAGGAAACGCUAUCCGGUAUUCAGU